UACAGAGGGGGCAAGCGUUGUUCGGAAUUACUGGGCGUAAAGGGCGCGUAGGCGGCCUUCUAAGUCAGACGUGAAAUCCCUCGGCUCAACCGGGGAACUGCGUCUGAUACUGGAUGGCUUGAAUUCGGGAGAGGGAUGCAGAAUUCCAGGUGUAGCGGUGAAAUGCGUAGAUAUCUGGAGGAAUACCGGUGGCGAAGGCGGCAUCCUGGACCGACAUUGACGCUGAGGAGCGAAAGCUAGGGGAGCAAACGGG
rnacentral:rRNA from 1 species